UUAUUUGCUGAUCUUUUAUAUGGAUAACUGUAGGAAACUAGAGCUAAUACAUGCUGAUUGCGCAGUGCGCAGCAUUUAUUAGAUAUAAGCCAACGAGCGAGGAUUCAUAGUAACUGAGCGGACUUCUACGGAAGUGCAGCAUUCAAGUUUCUGCCCUAUCAGCUAGAUGGUAGUGUAUUGGACUACCAUGGCUAUGACGGGUACGGGGAAUUAGGGUUCGAUUCCGGAGAUAGAGCCUGAGAAACGGCUAUAGCUUCGUAAGAGGGCAGCAGGGACGAAAAUUACCCAAUCCUAAUUCAGGGAGGUAGUGACAAGAAAUAUCAAUGCGCGGGGCCCUGUCACGCGAUUGGAAUGAGAUUAAUAUAGAAGCCUUAUCGAGGAUCCACUGGAGGGCAAGUCUGGUGCCAGCAGCCGCGGUAAUACCAGCUCCAGUAGCGUAUAUUAGAGUUGUUGCAGUUAAAAAGCUCGUAGUUGAAACUCUGCACGCAUGAAAUCUUUGAAUUAUCAGAUCUCAAGCUGUGCAUCCGCCUGAGCAGCAUAUUAUAACUUAGUAUGUGAUCAGGCACUUUACCUUGAGCAAAUUAAAGUGUUCCAGGCAGGCGUCAGCCUGAAUAAGAUAGCAUGGAAUAAUAGAAAAGGACUGAAAAUCACAGUUGGUGUGGAUAUUCAGUAAUGAUUAAUAGGGAUAGUUGGGGGCAUUCGUAUUUAAUAGUUAGAGGUGAUAUUCUAUGAUUUAUUAAGGACGAACCAAUGCGAAAGCAUUUGCCAAGGAUGUUUUCAUUAAUCAAGAACGAAAGUUAAGGGAUCAAAGACGAUCAGACACCGUCGUAGUCUUAACCAUAAACUAUGCCGACUAGAGAUUGGAGGUAGACUCCAAGACUCCUUCAGCAUCUUACAAAAAAUCAAAGUCUUUGGGUUCUGGGAGUAGUAUGGUCGCAAGACUGAAACUUAAAGGAAUUGACGGAAGGGCACCACCAGGUGUGGAGCCUGCGGCUUAAUUCGACCCAACACGGGAAAACUUACCAGGUCCAGACAUAGUAAGGAUUGACAGACUGAAGCUCUUUCUUGAUUCUAUGGACAAGUGGUGCAUGGCCGUUCUUAGUUCGUGGAGUGAUUUGUCUGGUUAAUUCCGGUAACGAACGAAACCUCCGCCUGCUAAAUAGUUAGGAUCCAAUAGGGUUCAUGACUUCUUAGAGGGACUAUGGAGACUACUCCACGGAAGUAGGAGGCUAUAACAGGUCUGUGAUGCCCUUAGAAGUCCUGGGCCGCACGCGCGCUACAUUGAUGCAGGCAGAAAGUACCAAGACAGACAUGUUUUGGAAAUCUACAAACUGCAUCGUGCUGGGGAUUGACUAUUGUAAUUUGGUCAUUAACGAGGAAUACCUAGUAAACGCAAGUCACCAACUUGCAUUGAUUACGUCCCUGCCCUUUGUACACACCGCCCGUCGUUCCUACCGGUUUGGAUGGUAAGGUGAACUCUAUGGACCGGCACACGGGAAGUUGAUUGAAUCUUAUCAUUCUGAGGGAGGAAGGUCGCAACAAGGUA
rnacentral:rRNA from 1 species